GUGAGGAAUAUUGGUCAAUGGGCGAGAGCCUGAACCAGCCAAGUCGCGUGAAGGAUGAAGGUUUUAUGAAUUGUAAACUUCUUUUGCAGGGGAAUAAAGUACGGUACGUGUACCGUUUUGUAUGUACUCUGCGAAUAAGGAUCGGCUAACUCCGUGCCAGCAGCCGCGGUAAUACGGAGGAUCCAAGCGUUAUCCGGAUUUAUUGGGUUUAAAGGGUGCGCAGGCGGGUUGAUAAGUCAGCGGUGAAAGUUUGCAGCUUAACUGUAAAAUUGCCGUUGAAACUGUCGGUCUUGAGUGCAAAUGAGGUAGGCGGAAUGUGUUGUGUAGCGGUGAAAUGCUUAGAUAUAACACAGAACUCCGAUUGCGAAGGCAGCUUACUGGGAUGCAACUGACACUGAUGCACGAAAGCGUGGGUAUCAAACAGGAUUAGAAACCCGGGUAGUCC
rnacentral:rRNA from 1 species